rnacentral:rRNA from 1 species
GACGAACGCUGGCGGCGUGCUUAACACAUGCAAGUCGAACGGAAAGGCCCUGCUUUUGUGGGGUGCUCGAGUGGCGAACGGGUGAGUAACACGUGAGUAACCUGCCCUUGACUUUGGGAUAACUUCAGGAAACUGGGGCUAAUACCGGAUAGGAGCUCCUGUUGCAUGGCGGGGGUUGGAAAGUUUCGGCGGUUGGGGAUGGACUCGCGGCUUAUCAGCUUGUUGGUGGGGUAGUGGCUUAGCAAGGCUUUGACGGGUAGCCGGCCUGAGAGGGUGACCGGCCACAUUGGGACUGAGAUACGGCCCAGACUCCUACGGGAGGCAGCAGUGGGGAAUAUUGCACAAUGGGCGGAAGCCUGAUGCAGCAACGCCGCGUGCGGGAUGACGGCCUUCGGGUUGUAAACCGCUUUCGCCUGUGACGAAGCGUGAGUGACGGUAAUGGGUAAAGAAGCACCGGCUAACUACGUGCCAGCCGCCGCCGUAACAC